rnacentral:rRNA from 1 species
GACCAGACUCCUACGGGAGGCAGCAGUGGGGAAUAUUGCACAAUGGGGGAAACCCUGAUGCAGCGACGCCGCGUGAGUGAAGAAGUAUUUCGGUAUGUAAAGCUCUAUCAGCAGGGAAGAAAAUGACGGUACCUGACUAAGAAGCCCCGGCUAACUACGUGCCAGCAGCCGCGGUAAUACGUAGGGGGCAAGCGUUAUCCGGAUUUACUGGGUGUAAAGGGAGCGUAGACGGCAUGGCAAGUCAGAUGUGAAAGCCCGGGGCUCAACCCCGGGACUGCAUUUGAAACUGUCAGGCUGGAGUGCAGGAGAGGUAAGUGGAAUUCCUAGUGUAGCGGUGAAAUGCGUAGAUAUUAGGAGGAACACCAGUGGCGAAGGCGGCUUACUGGACGGUAACUGACGUUGAGGCUCGAAAGCGUGGGGAGCAAACAGGAUUAGAUACCCGAGUAUUA